rnacentral:rRNA from 1 species
AGCGAACGCUGGCGGCAGGCUUAACACAUGCAAGUCGAGCGGGCACUUCGGUGUCAGCGGCAGACGGGUGAGUAACACGUGGGAACGUACCCUUUGGUUCGGAAUAACGCUGGGAAACUAGCGCUAAUACCGGAUACGCCCUUUUGGGGAAAGGCUUGCUGCCGAAGGAUCGGCCCGCGUCUGAUUAGCUAGUUGGUGGGGUAAUGGCCUACCAAGGCGACUAUCAGUAGCUGGUCUGAGAGGAUGAUCAGCCACACUGGGACUGAGACACGGCCCAGACUCCUACGGGAGGCAGCAGUGGGGAAUAUUGGACAAUGGGCGCAAGCCUGAUCCAGCCAUGCCGCGUGAGUGAUGAAGGCCUUAGGGUUGUAAAGCUCUUUUGUCCGGGACGAUAAUGACGGUACCGGAAGAAUAAGCCCCGGCUAACUUCGUG